rnacentral:rRNA from 1 species
GAUGAACGCUGGCGGCGUGCUUAACACAUGCAAGUCGAACGAAGCAUUUCUGUGGAAGCUUUCGGGUGGAAACAGAAGUGACUUAGUGGCGGACGGGUGAGUAGCGCGUGGGUAACCUGCCUUGUACAGGGGGAUAACAGUUAGAAAUGACUGCUAAUACCGCAUAACCCUUUAGUGCCGCAUGGCACGGGAGGAAAAGAUUUCAUCGGUACAAGAUGGACCCGCGUCUGAUUAGCUAGUUGGUGAGGUAACGGCCCACCAAGGCGACGAUCAGUAGCCGACUUGAGAGAGUGAUCGGCCACAUUGGGACUGAGACACGGCCCAAACUCCUACGGGAGGCAGCAGUGGGGAAUAUUGCACAAUGGGGGAAACCCUGAUGCAGCGACGCCGCGUGAAGGAAGAAGUAUUUCGGUAUGUAAACUUCUAUCAGCAAGGAAGAUAAUGACGGUACUUGACUAAGAAGCCCCGGCUAACUACGUGCCAGCCGCCGCAGUAAGAC